rnacentral:rRNA from 1 species
GGAGUUUGGGCCGUGUCUCAGUCCCAAUGUGGCCGUUCACCCUCUCAGGCCGGCUAUUGAUCGUAGCUUUGGUAGGCCGUUACCCCACCAACUGGCUAAUCAAACGCGGGUCCAUCCUUAAGCGAAAUUCAUUUCCUCACUGAGCCAUGCAGCUCUGUAAGCAUAUGGAGUAUUAGCAGAAAUUUCUCUCUGUUAUCCCCCUCUUAAGGGCAGGUUACCCACGCGUUACUCACCCGUCCGCCACUAGAAUUUCCAAGAAUCCACCGAAGUCUCAUCCUAGAGUUCUCGUUCGACUUGCAUGUGUUAGGCACGCCGCCAGCGUUCAUC